GCGAUGCAGGCGGUCCGCCGCCCGCGACGUCGCGAGAAGUCCACUGAACCUUAUCAUUUAGAGGAAGGAGAAGUCGUAACAAGGUUUCCGUAGGUGAACCUGCGGAAGGAUCAUUGUCGCAUCCUCUGCCUGCUCGGACAGACACACCGGCGAACGGUUGACCCCGAACUCUGCCGGAGGGGGACGGAUCGGGCGGGCCUCGCCAGCGCGUGCGUCUGCCCCGCCCCCUCCCCGGCGCCCGCCCCGCCGCCCGCGCGUCGCUCUGGCGGCAGUGGUCCGGCGGGACGACCGACCAACCUCCCGGCGCGGUCUGCGCCAAGGAAUACGUACAGGAAGGCCGCGUCCGUGCCCCGCCUCCCGGGCGGGGCGUGCCGCGCUCGUCUCCUUCGUAAAGUCGCAACGACUCCCGGCAACGGAUAUCUAGGCUCUCGCAUCGAUGAAGAACGUAGCGAAAUGCGAUACGUGGUGUGAAUUGCAGAAUCCCGCGAACCAUCGAAUCUUUGAACGCAAGUUGCGCCCGAGGCCAUCCGGCCGAGGGCACGCCUGCCUGGGCGUCACGCCCCGUGUCGCUCCCGCCCCCAUCCCCCCACUGCGUGGCGGGGGGGCGCGGCGGGAUGCGGAGAUUGGCCCACCGUGCUCCCGCGGCGCGGCGGGCUGAAGAGCUCGACCCCUCCCGCCGGGCGAGUCGCGGCGAGUGGUGGACGAAGCGCCGCGGGCGAACCCCCGGCCGGCGCUCAUCGUCGUCGCGACCGCCCGCGUACGGAUGCGCGGCCCCUGCUGCGCGACGGAGGGAGGGAGGAAAGGACGGAACCCGACCGCGAGCGAGACGGCGUCGCACGGAAUCGAAUCCAUUCGUAGUAGGGUGUGCGUGCCGCCGCUCCGACCGCGACCCCAGGUCAGGCGGGGCCACCCGCUGAGUUUAAGCAUAUAAAUAAGCGGAGGAA
rnacentral:rRNA from 1 species